rnacentral:misc_RNA from 1 species
AAGUCGUAACAAGGUUUCCGUAGGUGAACCUGCGGAAGGAUCAUUCUUGUAUCUACACCACUACUUUUAGUGGCAAACUUUGUGAACUGUACACUCACUUGUGCGCAUCACUGCUGUCGAUGUUGCUGAGACGAGUGGGCCGACUUGGCGAAAGGCGAUACCUCCGACUGGAAGCAUGCGCGUCGUCCUUUUUUGGUUCACAACACCUUGGCACUUCGACGGACGUGUGAUGUUGCGCUAACCUCCGCGUACCACACUAAUCUUUAAACUUACUUUUAUAAUUAAAUUUAAUACAACUUUCAGCAACGGAUCUCUUGGCUCUC